rnacentral:rRNA from 1 species
CAGUAGCCACGGGAAAACCGAGGUCUCGAGCGUUGUUCGGAUUCAUUGGGCGUAAAGGGUGCGUAGGUGGUCAUGUAAGUCUAAUGUGAAAUCUCGGGGCUCAACCCCGAAAUUGCAUCGGAUACUGCGUGACUAGAGGACUGUAGAGGAGAUUGGAAUUCACGGUGUAGCAGUGAAAUGCGUAGAUAUCGUGAGGAAGACCAGUUGCGAAGGCGAAUCUCUGGGCAGUUCCUGACACUGAGGCACGAAGGCCAGGGGAGCAAACGGGAUUAGAUACCCCGGUAGUCCCUGUCUCUUAUAU